GCCUGGGUGGCUCAGUCAGUUAAGCAUCUGACUUCAGCUCAGGUCAUGAUCCUACAGUUCAUGGGUUCGAGCCCCACACUGGGCU
rnacentral:tRNA from 1 species